UUUUUUUUUAAAGAUUUAUUUAUUAUGUAUAAGUCCACUGUUGCUGUCUUCAGUCACACCAGAAGAGGACAUCAGAUCCCAUUACAGAUGGUUGUGAGCCACCAUGUGGUUGCUGGGAUUUGAACUCAGGACCUAUUUGGAAUAUGAAAAGUCCAGGAGCAGGUGCUCACAGCAUCUGGUCAUGGCUUGUCCUUCACAGAUGAUGCUACUCGUGUGUCCUUACAUGGUGGAGAGAACAGAAGGGCAAGAGAGCAAAAAGAGCAAACGAUCUGCAUCUGAGCCCCUGACAGAUACUGAUGGAGGUUAAUGAACAGACGGACGGACACAUGGGCAAACAGAGAGUGGGAAGGGGAUCUCAAGGAACACCAGAAAACUGAGACCAACCGACCAGACAGGAGGAGGAGCACGGCGGAAAAUGGUAGGCACUGAGCCAAGACAACCAUGGCGGCAAUAGUGCUCCCCCAACACACACACAAACGAAGGCCAGUCUGAGGGACUUGUGGCUGUCAUGGCUGCUGACUGAGGGUUCCGAGGCAUGAAGUUACUAAAACAAAAACAAAAACAAAAACAAAAAAAAAAUCCCCAGGCUAGUGGAUGAGGAGGUAGCCCAGAGAGCUUGGGAAGAGGGACUCGCCACUGGAAUAAAAGGUGUGUGACACUCGUUUUGAUGGCCAGAAAGCUGCAGCAUCCAGGCUGGAAAACUUCUGUUCCUAUGGCCAUGGUUUCUUUCCGCACACGGCUCUACAUACCUCUCCCCUCACCUGGAGCCUCCCGUUCCUACUGGGUAUGGUCCCAGUGACACUGAUACCGUCCCUGGAAUCUCAGCUCUAACAACUUGAGAGGACUUUGUUCUGGUGCCGGCAUACCUGUAACCUGUUAACACUCGAUACUGUCGCACUCCUAGGUAAUCGGCCAGGUUUGGGCCACACUGCUCUUCCCAGUGAGGGCCACAAUCACCCGUACAAACUGUAAGUCAUUCUAUUUAGUCACGAAAGAGUUUCUCAGAUAAAGCCAGUGACACCCACACAGCAUAAUCAAAGGCAUUUUUUUUAAUGAACAGCAACCCCACCUCUGUCUAGUUUUAUCUAUUUCUGUCUCUCUCACACAACACCCCUGCCUCCUCAAUACAUGUCUGUGCACUCUGCCUUGUACACAAACUGGGCUCACUACUCUGACUCCGUCUUGAAUACAUGCCCCGUAUACAUGCUUCACUAGUCGCCCACACUCACAAAUCCUUCCCAGUCUGUCAUACACGCAUACUCCGCCUCUCCAGCUUGUCACAGUCAAAACCACAAACCAGUCUGCCUUCAUCUGAGUCACAGUGACACCCACUGAGGACCCCAUCCAUCUUCCCUCAGACCCACAUGGAACAAGGCCAGGUGGAGGCGCUGCGGGACAGGUCUGGGCAAGGCGGGGCGGUGGCCCUCCUGUGGCUGUCGCUCGCUCC
rnacentral:lncRNA from 1 species